UACAUGGGGUGCAAACGUUGCUCGGAAUUACUGGGCGUAAAGCGCACGCAGGUGGCUAAGUCAGUCGAUUGUGAAAGCCCCGGGCUUAACCUGGGAACUGCGCUCGAAACUACUUGGCUGGAGUGUGGCAGAGGGAGGUGGAAUUCCACGUGUAGCGGUGAAAUGCGUAGAGAUGUGGAGGAACACCGAUGGCGAAGGCAGCCUCCUGGGCCAACACUGACGCUCAU
rnacentral:rRNA from 1 species